ACAUCAGAACAUUUAGUACUGCCUCUGCUAUCAUAGACUCUUCUAUGAAACUUCUUCAUUCUGGACCUUAUGGUAAUUCUAUGAUGUAUGUCAGUUGAAUUAGGGUCUAAAGCUGGCUGAGAUAUCUCCAGCCCUUCUGAUCUUACAAUUUCCAAGUAUCUUCCUGGAUCAAAAUUUGCGACCCCUAAAUCUUCAUCCCAUAGAAAUAUGUAAUCAUAGAUAGACACAACAGCUGGAUGCAGAAAUCGUUUUGC
rnacentral:misc_RNA from 1 species